GAGAUGUGUGUCCCCUCGUCCAUAGUAGGCUAUUAGAAAUGAAAUGUUUUGUUUAACUUUUUAUUCUAGGGCGGCAGGUAGCCUCGUGGUUAGAGCGUUGGGCCAGUAACCGAAAGGUUGCUAGAUCGAAUCCCCGAGCUGACGGGGUAAAAGUCUGUCGUUUGGCCCCUGAACAAGGCCGUUUUAACCCACUGUUCCUAGGCCGUCAUUGUAAAUAAGAAGAAACUUUGGCAUCAGUAUUUCCUGUGAUAGGUCAAAUGUUCUAUAUCUACAGACAAGUGUGUUCCUUGACCUCUCUCAUCAAAGAGACACCUUUUUAUUCUAUUUUAAAUUCCUCACCUUUUGAUUUUCUACAAAUACACUACUCUACACUGAGCCUUUUUAUAAAAAUGAUUUCUGAGAUUGCAGAACAUGUUGGGAGGGAUCUUAGACCUUUCCUCCAUACAGAAUCUUUCUAGAUCCUUGAUAUCCCUUCAAUUCAAACCACCGGAGACUGAGAUGGCCAUUGCAAAAUAUAGAAUGUCUGGUAAAUUUACCAUAUAUUAGAUGUGUGCUUGGGGUUAUUGUCUUGCUGGAAGACCCACUUGCGGCCAGGUUUCAGGGGCCAGGAGCUGACCUACGCUACUAUGCCCAUCAAUGGGGCGCUGGCAAAGACCUCACCAAUGGUCAUCAACAGAAUUAGAAACAUGUAUGGAGCCAGCACAUGGAGACUUGCAAGAUGAUGUGACGAAGUCCAGGCAUGCAGACGGGCUUGAUACUGAUGUCUCUGAAUGGAGAGAGACCUGGCACUCCGCACACACGUUUUACUUGUAUUGUCUUUUAUUAUUAUAGAAUGGGAAUGGGGAAGAAGAAACCCUGUUAUUUUGGGAAUUACUGAUUAUAGGGGACACAGGAAGGUUUGACCUCUCUGAUACGUUUGCCAAAGUAGCCCCAUUACCACCAGACAAAAUGCCUAUAGGCACAUUAUCUGAAUUGGCUGGGAAUGACAAUGAAAAGUGAAAGGUACACAUUGUUAUAUUAGCAGAACACCACUUCUGUGGUAUUAUGUAAAGGAGGUGUCAAACUCAUUCCAUGGAGGGCCGAGUGUCUGCGGGUUUUCGCUCCACCCUUGUACUUUAUUGAUGAAUUAAGGUUGCUAAUUAGUGAGGAACUCCCCUCACCUGGUUGUCUAUGUCUUAAUUGAAAGGAAAAAGACUCAAACCCACAGACACUGCCCUCCGUGGAAUGAGUUUGACACCCCUGAUGUAAAAAGGUUGAUUUUACCUGUUACUAUCUUUGAAAGUUAUCAAGACACUUAGUUUUCGAGUAUCUACAUAAGUUCCGCAAUUGCUGUCUUCUCAUAUUACUCUGUAAGCUACUGACCUAUUCAAAGCUCCUUCCGGCAUCUCAUCAUACAUCUGUAGUUCGUUAUUGAAUUCAUCCUGCAGGAGGUUUGUUUGUUGUGACUGAGUGGGGGAAGAACCGCUGCGGGCAAGGUUCUGACAGAUGGGUGUGUCUUGGUGGUACCAAAGACACACCCAUGAAACACCCAUAUCAAACCACACCCCCAAGCAAACUCGUUUGGUUGCUGG
ensembl:lncRNA